UGCGUACAUAGGCUACGACUCUUCAGUAUUGCCAGCUCGAGAGGUUUUCAUGACAGCGUGCGUAAAAUGGGUUUAGGCGAGUGGAUUUAUAGAAAUGGUUGAAUAGCAAAAAUAUAAAUUGUGCGGGUUUUUAGAGGAGUCUGCAGGACUGUGGUUGUAUUUUCAAUCAAAUCUUGCAACCCAUCUACUUCCAAGCGUAAUUUUCAAAAUGAAGCGGCAGAAUGUCAGAGCAAACCGUGCGAAGAAAUCGAGAUCACAACGAAGUACGAGCUAUAAUAUAAAGAAAAACGAAAUCCAAUGUAUUUUAAAGACACAAUUAUGCGUUCGGUUUAUUGUCGUCAUAACGGACAAUAUAAAAUAUGUGCGGAGGAUCAACUUGCUUCUCCCCCUAUGUGCGGACAGGCGUCUCCGGGUCAAAAGUCUGUGGCAGGAAAGCUUCGUCUACUACGUCACUUUGAAUCCUUAGCGGGAACCAUAGACUGUAUAUAAAAGGCGGGAACCCUUUGUUCCGGCUAAAACGUAGCUACGCCUUCCACCGGGAGAGCUACCUCUCAUAGGUCGUGUUGCGUGGGAUUUGUGUUGAAAAGGAUCCUAGUCUUCUGCGGGUUUGUACUCAAGAAACGGAGAAAGGUUGUAAAUAUUGACGUAGGCGAUGGCAGGAAGAUGCAAUGAAAAUGGAUCGGUAUGUGAUCUACCAAAUGGGGGCAAAACAAGACAUCCGUCAGGUUUUCAGUGGAUAAAAACACACAAAGUUAUUGUGGUACUGGUGGUUGUUCUAAUUGGAGUUUUAAUUGGAGUCUAUUGCUCCUUGGUUUCAACUACCAACCCACACUUGAAUGAAGGAACCAAUGUUAUUACCCCAAACCCCCUGACAUCAGGCAAUUACAGCCUUCAGACAACGAUCAAAACGGAUGGAUGGAUUUGGAAUAACAACACAAUAAAAAAAUACCAUGUCCCCACUGUGAAAAAGUCCUGGAACGACAGCCGAGUGGACUGUCAGCAGAGGGGAGGAGACCUGUUGAAAAUCAACAACAACACAGUGAAUUCUGAUUUUCAGGGGAUCAAUUUGACGAACAUCGAUCAAUUCUGGGUCCGGACAGGUGUCAAGUCUGAAAAUGGCUGUGCUAAAUGUGAUUUAGAUUAUGAUGUAUGUCUAAAAAAUAAUCUUACAGUUGCGGAAUGUACUAAAACAAUCAAAGGGUACGUAUGUGAAAUUGACAUUUGAAUUUCUCAAGAAUGGUACCCUACAUGUAUAGUGCUGCUGAUCUUUUGCCUGAUUUCCAGGUGCUAAUGACAUUGUACAGGGUGAUAUUUAUUUUUAACAAAUUAUUUCCAAAUUGAUACUGUGUGUAUGUGAGGACUAGUCUAACGUCAAACGUCCCCUUCCAUUUAUCUACCAGUUUUUGUUUUUUUUUGCAGCUGUGUGCAAAAAACAUUCCUGUCUCUGUAGGACCCGGUUCCUCAUCCAUCUGGUACAUUGUGGUACUCUGGUCAGGAACAUGUUUUUCCAUUUAUGUUCUUUUCAGUGACCCUCUAAUUUUCCCCAUGUUUAAUCCAACGGUGCCUUAAAAACAAUUCACUAUUCAAAUGUGUUGAUAGUGUGUUACCGCACAUUUUUUACUACUCCCCUCACCCCAGAUCCAUUGACAUCAGUAUCAGAGAGUUUUAUUAACAAGUAAGUUUCACAACAAACAGGGAAUUUGUUGUGGCCUGUUAGUUUAAGAAUUUAUAAUAUAAAAUAUACAUAAGCAAUAAAAAAUAAAAACAACAGUGGACUGAGCAUAAAAACAAUAGACUGAGCAUUAAUAAAUUAUAAAAAAAUAUGUAAUGUGCAACAUUUGACCAGUUAUCAAAUUUACCAAAUAACACAGCGCCAUCCUGCACAAUGAUGUUCUUGUGACAUGGCACCCAACAUCUACGUAGUAAGAAUUAUGAAUAUGUAUAAAGCAAAAAUAUAGCAAAAAAACUAAAAUUAACAAAAUAAACCGAUUUAAUAUAACGCUGUAAAACACUCAGCAAUUGAAAAACAGUACUGUAAACUAGCAUCAGUAUGGGUGGGAGUAUUGAGUAUUAUAGGUAUGGCAGUAAUAUACAUCAUGUAAACUAGCAGCAAUUUAGAAGGACUAGGAUGAGGAAAAUGCACAAUAUGGGUAGAAGUAUUGAAAAUUAUUGAUAAAUAUGAGUGUAAUAUGCUUAUGAAUGGGAAUAUUGUAGUGUACAUUGAAAGUGCCUGAAAAGACAUCAGAACAUCUGGAAUGUUCAUGUGUGAUCAGUGUGAUCAUGGAUCAGUGUUGCUGGUUGAGGAGCCUUAUGGCCUGAGGGAACAAACUGUGAGUCUGGAAGUGUGUGCUCCGAUGCUCCUGUAGCGUCCACCAGGUGGCAGCAGUGUGAACAGACCAUAGCCUGGGUGACUGUGGUCUUUGAUGCCUUGCAUGGAGGAGAGAUGGCAGCCGAUUUACAUGCUCCGCAGAUUUUACCACCCUCUGGAGGGUCUUGUGGUCCGCAGCGGAGCAGCUGCUGUACCAGGCAGUAAUGCAGCCUGAGAGGAUGCUUUCAGUGGUGCACCUGUAAAGUUUUGUAAGAGUUAUUAUAGCCAUGUCAAACUUAUUGAGUCUCCUCAGGAAGUAUAGUUGUUUUGGGGCAGUUUUUACUGCUGAGUUCGCUUGCGUGGAUUAAGUGAGGUCAUCUUUGAUGAACACACAGAGGAACUUGCAUUUGGAGACUCCACUACAGUUCCAUCGAUGUGUGUGUGGGAGCAUGACUGCAAUUUCUAGCGAGACUGAAGACAAACUUUACACUGCCAAAUCUAUUUCAUUUCAUGGCACAACAACAUUUGUUUAUCUUUCAUAUGUGAAUGAAAUUGGUGCAAUAACUACUUUUAUAAUGGACUUUUUCGUCUAGUGGAAAGACGAUCCCAAGGUGUUGUGGUCUACAUGACCCAAAAGCAUGCACGGAUGCAUACUUCGAAAAUACAAUGGAAAUAAUAGACCAUCCUGGAACUUUUUUGCUUACAAUUGUUUAGCGUACAUGCUUUGGGACGCACAAAUCUUAUCGCAUACUAAACUGGCCAGUGGCGUUUUUAUAUGUAAAAAAUGUGUGGGCCACAAACCCUUUCAAAAUAUAGGAUUACAUAGCUGUGAACUGUCUGAUGAACUGUCUGACGAACUGUCUGACGAACUGUCUGACGAACUGUCUGACGAACUGUCUGACGAACUGUCUG
ensembl:lncRNA